rnacentral:rRNA from 1 species
UACGGGGGGAGCAAGCGUUGUUCGGAUUUACUGGGCGUAAAGGGCGCGUAGGCGGCGCGGGUAGUCAUCGGUGAAAGUUCAGGGCUCAACUCUGAAUCGGCCGGUGAUACUCCCGUGCUCGAGCACUGUAGAGGCAGGUGGAAUUCCGGGUGUAGCGGUGGAAUGCGUAGAUAUCGGGAGGAACACCAGUGGCGAAGGCGAGUCUCUGGGAUGAUGCUGACGCUGAGGCGCGAAAGCCAGGGGAGCAAACGGG